rnacentral:snRNA from 1 species
GGAUGUGAGGGUGAUCUGGCUGCUACAUCUGUCACCCCAUUGAUCACAAAGGCUGACUCAGCAGAUCUGGGUGGCUAGGUGGGUAUCCCCUUCCUCCCUCAUUGCUGCAAGUGUGUCCUGCCUGAAGCUGUGCACUUGGUUGAAGAGGAGGACCUUCCCUGAAUUGAGGAGAACUGGUCUUCAGUCAAGAUUAUGCGAAGUAGCUGCACUCCCCUGCUAGAACCUCCAAACAAGCUUUCAUGGUCCAUUUGUAGGAGAAGGUAGGGUAGUCAAGCUUCCAAGACUCCAGACACAUCCAAAUGUGGUGUGGCAUGCGCUAGUCUACCUUUCUUA